rnacentral:rRNA from 1 species
AUUGAACGCUGGCGGCAUGCUUUACACAUGCAAGUCGAACGGUAACAGGCCGCAAGGUGCUGACGUGUGGCGAACGGGUGAGUAAUGCAUCGGAACGUGCCCAGUCGUGGGGGAUAACUACUCGCAAGAGUCGCUAAUACCGCAUACGAUCUAUGGAUGAAAGCGGGGGACCGUAAGGCCUCGCGCGGUUGGAGCGGCCGAUGUCAGAUUAGGUAGUUGGUGGGGUAAAGGCGCACCAAGCCAACGAUCUGUAGCUGGUCUGAGAGGACGACCAGCCACACUGGGACUGAGACACGGCCCAGACUCCUACGGGAGGCAGCAGUGGGGAAUUUUGGACAAUGGGCGCAAGCCUGAUCCAGCAAUGCCGCGUGCAGGAAGAAGGCCUUCGGGUUGUAAACUGCUUUUGUACGGAACGAAACGGCUCUGGUUAAUACCCGGGGCUAAUGACGGUACCGUAAGAAUAAGCACCGGCUAACUACGUG